UCCUUCGAUCUGCAAGUGAAUCCCGAAGGCCAGGAGGGCAGCCAAGAGGUGGAGGUCCAGCAAGUCGGACCCGAGGAGCCAGAAGAAGUUGAGUGUCCAAGUCACGAGCCAGCUUCGUUCGUGAAAGGCAAGCCCCGGAGCAUUCUAAGUCUCCCUUUACUUUUGAAAGUUUAUUUAAUAUGUUAUAUCUAUUGCUGCAUUAAGUAUAGGAGUUGUAAUGAAACCUUUGCUGCAUUUUACUCAAUCCGUGUCCAGAUAUCUUACCACUACCUGGUUAUAGAGUUAGGAUCGAGUAGCAGCUUAGCCAUGCUUUAAUCGGUAGAAGUCGGGUGAUACCCUGUCACCUGCGCGAUAUAGGGUUAUGUCGGAUCACGAUGGUCUAUAUGUGCUAUCGUGGAUGGAACCUGAUUAAUUUGACUUAAGCCGGGCGGAGUUUUGCAAGUUUGUAGUAACUCCGUCUGUGGCAGCUAAGGACCGAUCGUUGUACGUCCUCUUGUCAUGUUGAACGCAUGCCUAACACUUAGUUGGCCGGAUAACUCGUUCCGACCGCGAAGCCGAGUAGUAUGACUCAGGCCGGAAGAUCGGCAAGUAUAAAGUGCGCACUACCGGAGGAAGUGCGGCGUGCGGGGGACCAUUGGCGUAAGCCCAAAGGCAGGUGAGUUAAAAUUCCUGACCUCCCUGGCAGAGUGGUAGCCCUGGGAGUGCGGCGCUGAUCGGAGCCGCGAUUCAUGAGUUGUACCAAAGGUGACCCGUUGGCUCUCCGACGGGGGAUGCUUGGGUGAGUGCUAGGAAUAACCCUCCAGCUGGAUAGGAAUUCGAUUCGAAUCGCCGUCUCUUCCGGUCAGUGAGAACUUGACAGAGCAGCGGCAAACGUAGCAUUCACUAAUGAACUUGGUUCAUGAGAAUGAUGAUAGCAAGAAGAACAGAUGAUGAACCUGAUAUGGUUAUUAUUGCUUGUAAUAAUCAAGUGAUGUGUUCUAGUACAGGUGCUAAUCUAGUGGUAGGCUGAUGAUAAAUAAAUAUGAUGCUCUUAUAUUUUGUUAGUCUUAAUAAAGGCUUUUGGCAAAAAUGUCGAGUCAGCCAGCUCUACUUUUAUAUCUUAGCCUUGCAUGAUCCUUGGUGUCUUUUAUAUUUUACUAGACGGGUAAGUCUAGCUGAGUACAUCCUCGUACUCAGGGUUUAUUCCCACCUGUUGCAGAUGACAUCUUCUAUGACGGUUUCUGCAAGACCUGUCUCCAUCCCGCUGGGGAUGAGGACUAACCGUUGGGCACGGUUCUCUAACAACCUCGUAUCUGAUGCUUUUGGAAGGAUGGUGUAGACUCUGGCAAUAACCAAAAACUUGUGAACUGAACUUUGAACUUUGAACAAGUGUGUGUAAUUAUUUUGCUUCCGCUACUUCGAACUUGUGUUGUAAUAACUUAAUAACUCCGAUGUGGUGCCGCUUCGACGGCAAUGAAUGACUAUGUAACAUUCGCUGUGUUUAUGUUGAAUUAUUACGAUCUUGGUUUGUUGCGA
rnacentral:lncRNA from 1 species